UCAGCUCGUGUUGUGAAAUGUUGGGUUAAGUCCCGCAACGAGCGCAACCCUUAUCCUUUGUUGCCAGCGGUCCGGCCGGGAACUCAAAGGAGACUGCCAGUGAUAAACUGGAGGAAGGUGGGGAUGACGUCAAGUCAUCAUGGCCCUUACGACCAGGGCUACACACGUGCUACAAUGGCGCAUACAAAGAGAAGCGACCUCGCGAGAGCAAGCGGACCUCAUAAAGUGCGUCGUAGUCCGGAUUGGAGUCUGCAACUCGACUCCAUGAAGUCGGAAUCGCUAGUAAUCGUGGAUCAGAAUGCCACGGUGAAUACGUUCCCGGGCCUUGUACACACCGCCCGUCACACCAUGGGAGUGGGUUGCAAAAGAAGUAGGUAGCUUAACCUUCGGGAGGGCGCUUACCACUUUGUGAUUCAUGACUGGGGUGAAGUCGUAACAAGGUAACCGUAGGGGAACCUGCGGUUGGAUCACCUCCUUACCUUAAAGAAGC
rnacentral:rRNA from 2 species